CCCCCCCCCCGCCCCCGGGGCACACGGCAAAGUGGAGAAGGACAGGAGGCAAGUGGGUCUGAAGGGGAGAGAAUAACAGCACAGGUACCCAGUUGGAUGUCCUUGGACCCUGCAUUAGUCGGGGAGCCAGAGAAACCUGGAGAGAACAGGGACCCCAAGAAGUGGCCGAUAGCCCCCAGGAGGGAGCCGGCGGUUUCCUGGAGAACAGGAGCCUGUCUGUUUGCAAGUCUGGAGGAGGGAGGAGGAGAAGGAGCUGAGUGUUACCAAGUGCCAAGCACGAAGUACCUGCAGAGCUGGUGGCAGGGAGGGCAGCAGUCUGCAUGAAAGCAUCCAGCAGCCGCCAGGAUCCUUCCAGAACACGAGCCGGAUGGUGUCAGUCACGCUUGAGUCUCUUGGAUGUUCCCCACUGCACAGCUCAAGUCUCCAGUCCUUCACUCCUUCCUCGCUGACAAGGACCGCCCCGUCAGCCCCCAACACCCCUCUCUGUGUCUGCCGCUUAUGCAGCUGUUCUCUGACUUAAAUCUCUCCUCCCUCCCACCGUGUCCCCAACUGACUGACCCCCACUGUCUCACUGUCUCUGUGGCUUCCUCCGGAGCCCUUCCCAACACCCCGCUGACAUCCUAUUCUCCCAUUAUAAACCUUACUAACGGAAGCCGAGGUCAGAGAAUCGCUUGAGACCAGGAGCUCCAGGCCAGCCACAUAGUGAGACCCCCGUCUCUGUAAAAAUAAAAGU